ACCUAUGACAACCACAACAACAUCCACCACAACAACUGUAGCUCCUACAAUGUCAAUCUCAACUGCAGGUUCUACUACCAAUUUAACUCCAACCACAACCACAAAUGAAGCUCCAACAGACAUCACAUCUGUAGCUCCUAUGCCCUCCGCAAUUGCAACUUCAACUACAACUGUAGCAUCUCCUACAACAACAACUGCAGAUGCUUCCAAAACCACAAGUGCAGCACCUACUACAUCAAUCACAACUGCAGGUCCUACUACCAUUUCUCCUCCUACGACAACCACAACUGAAGCUCCUACAGAAAUCACAACUGUAGCUCCUAUGUCCCCCACAAUUGCAGCUUCUUCUUCAACAACUGUAGGUCCCACGACCACUACAACUGCAGCAGCUCCUACAACAAUAACUGUAGCUGCUUCCACAACUACUACUGCAGCCCCUACUGCAACCACAACUGAAGCUCCUUCUACAACAACUUUAGCACCAACAACAUCAGCAACAACAGUCCCUGCGACAACUGCAGCUAAUUCUUCAACUGUAGCUCCAACAAUGCCAAUCACAACUGCAGCUCCUACACAAACAACUCUUGCUCCUACAACCUCUACAACUUCAGCAUCCACUACGUCAUUCACAACUGCAGGUCCAACUACCAUUUUACCUCCUUCGACAACCACAACUGUAUCACCUAUGACAACCACAACAACAUCCACCACAACAACUGUAGCUCCUACAAUGUCAAUCUCAACUGCAGGUUCUACUACCAAUUUAACUCCAACCACAACCACAAAUGAAGCUCCUACAGACAUCACAACUGUAGCUCCUAUGCCCCCCACAAUUGCAACUUCAACUACAACUGUAGCAUCUGCUACAACAACAACUGCAGAUGUUUCCAUAACCACAAGUUCAGCACCUACUACAUCAAUCACAACUGCAGGUCCUACUACCAUAUUACCUCCUACGACAACCACAACUGAAGCUCCUACAGAAAUCACAACUGUAGCUCCUAUGUCCCCCACAAUUGCAGCUUCUACUUCAACAACUGUAGCUCCCACGAACACUACAACUGCAGCAGCUCCUACAGCAACAACUGUAGCUGCUUCCACAACUACUACUGCAUUCCUUACUGCAACCACAACUGAAACUCCUUUUACAACAACUGUUGCACCUACGACAACAACAAUAUCCCCUACGACAACUGCAGCUAAUACUACAACAACUGUCGCUCCUACAAGUACAACCACAAUUGCACUUCCUACCUCGACAACCACAACGGAAACUUUUACCUCAACUUCUAUGGCUUCAGUGGCAUCAACUAGAUUUGGCACAGUGGUGGUUUUUGUAAGACUAGAGUUCCAGCUCAACACAGCAGUCCCCACUGAGCAUGAUGUCCUUGGUGCCGUCGACAAGGAACUGUCUCAUCAAUUCAGAACCUUCAAAAUUCAAAGAAACACUCAAGCCACGCUCCAGAAUGCAACUUAUAUCAAACUUGCAGAUACUUCAUUUGCUGUUGAUCUUGGUUUCAAAAUAACCAAUGUAUCCAUGGAGGAGAGACUGCUUCAAAGUGCUAGACUCACUUUCACCAAUGAUACCUACAGCCAGAUACAGGAUUUGAUUAACAACCUACUCCAUGAUAUUCUCAGUGAACCAAACGGCAAACAAUUUGACUUUCCCAACGCCAAAUUUAGUGUUGUUGGCAAUCAAAUCAUGGCAAACGUGACGUAUGUAUACAAAGACAAAGAUGUCAACCUCCCUAGUGCCUUUCUAGGGGAAGUUAUAAAAGUCUCAGGUCUCCUGACAACCAUUGUUGCCCCAACAACAACUACCAGCACCACACCACUUCCUACCCUUUUGCUGACCACUACUUUCAAUACCACAAGUGAUGGAGGUUUUCCUGGCUGGGCUCUGGCCAUUAUCAUCCCUUGUGGCAUCGCUAUCAUUCUGGUACCCCUGUGGAUCCUGCUAUGUUGCAUGCUAUGUGGCGGCUGUGCAGCUUUAAGGAGACGCUGGCACAGACACAGAGCUUACAACGUACAGUACACCAUAAGAAACAGCCUCUUCUGAGUUGACAAGACCAUCAAAAUAACAGCCAAUCAUCUAUAUCUGCUCAUCAUCACAACAAAUAAUAUAUUUUUUAUGUAAUCCAUACACCAUUACUUUUGAGAAGAUCAAACACGGACUUGCUUAUAUUUUAUUACAAAAUUGCAUUGUUCUUGAUAGGGUUAAUAGGUCACAUGUGUUUCCCCAAUGUACUACUUUUUAAUACUACUUUUUAAUAUUAUACAGUAUUUCUCAUUUUAGUCAAAGCUACAGCUGAGCUGGUAUAUUAUGCAUUUAUGUAAUUUAUGUGCCAUCAACCUCUGCUGUCCACCGUCUAAAAUGAUCAUCUCUAAUUUAAUCAAAUCAAAAUCAAAUCAAAUGUCUUUGUCACAUACACAUGGUUAGCAGAUGUUAAUGCGAGUGUAGCGAAAUGCUUGUUCUUCUAGUUCUGACCAUGCAGUAAUAUCUAACAAGUAAUGUAACCUAACAAUUCACAACAACUGCCUUAUACACACAAGUGUAAAGGAAUGAAUACGAAUAUGUACAUAAUGAUCUAUAUACACAGACAUUUUAUUUUAGAUUUUUGUCAUUUCCCCUGCUGAUUUAAGCUAUUAACUCACUAUAUUUGAAAGUCUGCAAUACAGCACUUGUUUCUUUAUCAUACAAUUUAACACGUAAUAAAAGCCUUUCAAAUCAAUAUUAACUGGAGAAAUAAUAUGUCUGCAGAAAUCCUGUUAGAAUUAUUUGGACAUGCUAUACGCAAAAAUUGGUAACACUUUGCUCUACAGGGUAAGGUAUUCAUAACACCUUUAAGAGUUUUAAUUUGAAAUCUCCUUAUGAAUGUUGUUGAAUAAAUGUAUUAAGGUUGUUAUGAAUAAUCCUUCAAAAUUCACAAAGGUCUCAUGAUUGUCUUCAUAAAGGUGUUAUGAAUGCCUUAUCUGUAUACCCUCCUAUAGUAAAUUGUUGACCAACAAUUAGCGGCAAUUUAGAUAUCUUCAGGGUUUUUGAAGAAUUACGCCAUAGGAAUAAAAAAAUAAAAA
rnacentral:lncRNA from 1 species